AAAUUAAAAUUAAAAACAAACAAACCCAUCACCGUACCCACCCCGUCUCUCUCUCUCUCUCUCUCUCUCUCCCCCCUAUUCUCUUCUCCAUCGCCUCAAAACACCGAAAAAAAAAAACUCAGAUCAAGAAUUUUAAAACAAAAAACUCAAUCCAAACCCAGAUUGUUUGAGUUCAUGGUCCUUUGCUCUAUGUAUGUGAGUGCGAUUGUAAGAUUGGAUUUUAUUUUGGUGGGAAGCUUGGGGUUUGAUUUUCUUUGGCUGGACAUGACGGAGUGGGGAGGGAAGCUGGGAUUUGGAUCUUUUGUGGUUGCAUGGUUUGGUAGUUGGUAAAAUCAUUGAAGAUUUUGAACUAUUCUUCAAGGUUGUAGGGGCUUCUUCUUCGCUUGAUUUGAUUCGAGGAGUGCAGAUGGGAAUUGUGUAAUUGGAGGGACAAGGACUGUCCAUUUGAAAAUUAAGUGAGGGCAUUAUGGGAAAGCCAAAAUUUCAUUAAAACCACCGGUUAAAUUUUUUUUUAAGCUGCUUUGAAAGCUGCCUUCUCCCUGCUUUGGAAAAACAGCGGUCACUGACCGCAAUUUUUUUUAAAAGCUGAUUUUUGAUGUUUACCAAACACCUUAAUUUGGGAAAUUUUUUUUUAAAGCUGCUUUUAAAAAAAUUUAAGCACUCUCAAACGCUACCUAAUUCCCUUCCAUCUGAGAAUUAUUCUCUGCGAACCCUAACUGACAAGGAGACUCUAUAAAUAAAUGGUGACACUCCACACAUGAGGUAAUCCUUUUCUAACCUGAAAAACCGUAGAGAAUCACUCUCACUAUUUCUCCCUCACUCCACUCUCUCUCCUAUCCCUCACGGCUCCGACCACACUA